UGUGUGGCCAGCAAAAGGUGUGCCUAAAGCAAUCAAAUUCUUAGCAGUUUAACCUGUCGUCGUGAACAACGUGCGUCAGUCGUUGUCAAUCGAACGUCUGGAUGUAGGUCAGGAGACGCGGGAUCUUCCCUUUGUCCAGGAGGGUAACCAGGAGAGUGAAUCGGUAGUUGUCAGUUCUUGCAUUAGUCCUCGUGCAUAUCACACAUCUCUGUAAAACUCAAUGAAGUGACGUUCCGCGUAGACGGAAAGCGUUGCGGAGGGUGCAACGCUUUUCUUCGACUAACACUCGAAUGCCCUGGUAGCUAUGCGGCUUGUCUCGUGUAGUGGUGCCAGUUGGGUGCUGCUGAAGACAUCGGCGUGGCACCUGACCCGGCGACAUUCCGGAGUUCCCAUGACAGAAAAGAAAGGCGGGAUCGGCGAGAGACAGCAACAAUCCGGACUCGAAUGAGCUCGGUAACACAAAGAGAUUUCUUGUGGUACCUCAGUGCCCGACAACUGGCUGUGUGAGAGACACGCUAUGCAUUUCCUCGGGCACUGGCUCUCCACUUUUUCUUGCCUUAUCUACAGGCAGGUGUGUUAGCCGUUGUUGCCUUUCUGAGAUCCAGAGUGAAGCAACUUCCGACGGGCACGUGGUAUCUGUUCUUCGCGUUAGCUUAUGUUCGCCUUCCAGACGAUGGCCAAGAAGUAAAGACACUGCAAAGUUCCACGGAAGCCAACGGUCUAGUUUCAAGCGGCAGUCGCUUCCGAUUAAUAACCGGCAGGCUGAGUCGACGAGGGAAUCACCGCAAACCUCCGCUCGCCAGUCUCCAAUAACAAAGCGAAGUCGCUCGACGCGGCGGGUGUUCCGUCGGCGGAUACCAAGGCUGCUGAAAAUCAACCAGAGGCAGCGCAAGUUUGAUGGAUUGAAAAGAAAGCUGCUGCGACAGUUUCUAUGUGAGUCACCCCGCCUGCUUCCGCCGUCCCCCUUUUCGGAUUUCAGACCAAGAGCAACCCCAGACAACUGCGUUUCCCUCGCUUACCGAGACAAAGCGCCAGGGUGAGGUUGAAUACCUUCAUGGCAGUGUGUGCACGAAGUGAACUGUGGCCAAAUAAACAAUCGCAGUCACGCCUAUCUUGUCUUUGAAAAUAGCAAGUGGGGAUGCAGAGAAACAUUCGGUAAGGGGGAUCCCCUGACCACGUUGCACCAGCCGUUGAUGCGAUCAUCAAAGUCGUAGAUGUAGUUAAACUAACGAAGAGACUCAAGGUUGAAUCUGAUUUAGG
rnacentral:lncRNA from 1 species